rnacentral:lncRNA from 7 species
CAGGAAGAGAAGCUCAGUGCAGUUCCUGCAGAGAAGUUUCAGCAUGACCCUCAUCGUCCAAAACAGGGCUUUGAUUGUUGCGUUACUACACAGUAAUACUUCUGUGGGCCGAUACUGAAGCCCACCUGAACUGAACUCUAGAUGACCAAACUUGAGGUAUGAAUCAAUACACUAUUUAGAAGAGCUAAGCACGCUUACGUUACCUGCUGCUAUCUACAAGUUUUCUUGAAACUGGACGAAAGAAUAUUAAUUGGCAUCAUGACAGAAAAAAACACCACGGAGAUCUGCUUGCUCAAAAAAUGUGCUGAUAAACAUAAUUUGUUUUAAUAUGUUGACGUAAAGCCUUUGUCAGUAACUGGACAAAAGCAUAAAUUACAUCCUUAUGCUCAGCAGCGUUUUGUUUUCGUGGGUAAUGUCAAUAAACCAAUUUUAGAAGC